UACAGAGGUCUCAAGCGUUGUUCGGAUUCAUUGGGCGUAAAGGGUGUGUAGGUGGCGCCGUAAGUCGGGUGUGAAAUUUCGGAGCUUAACUCCGAAACUGCAUUCGAUACUGCGGUGCUUGAGGACUGGAGAGGAGACUGGAAUUCAUGGUGUAGCAGUGAAAUGCGUAGAGAUCAUGAGGAAGACCAGUGGCGAAGGCGGGUCUCUGGACAGUUCCUGACACUGAGACACGAAAGCCAGGGGAGCGAACGGG
rnacentral:rRNA from 1 species